rnacentral:rRNA from 1 species
AGAGUUGAUUCUGGCUCAGAACGAACGCUGGCGGCAUGGAUUAGGCAUGCAAGUCGAACGGGAGCAGCAAUGCUCCAGUGGCGCAAGGGUGAGGAACACGUGAACAACCUGCCUUCGAGUUGGGGAUAGCUUCUGGAAACGGGAGAUAAUACCGAAUAACAUCACCGGAUCGCAUGAUUAGGUGAUCAAAGCAGCAAUGCGCUUGAAGAGGGGUUCGCGUCCCAUUAGCUAGUUGGUGAGGUAACGGCCCACCAAGGCGAUGAUGGGUAGCUGGUCUGAGAGGACGACCAGCCACAUUGGGACUGAGAUACUGCCCAGACUCCUACGGGAGGCUGCAGUCGAGAAUUUUGGGCAAUGGACGAAAGUCUGACCCAGCAAAUGCCGCGUGCGGGAUGAAGGUCUUCGGAUUGUAAACCGCUGUCAAGAGGGACGAAAUAUGACGGUACCUCUGGAGGAAGCCACGGCUAACUACGUGCCAGCAGCUGC